CCUGCAUGUGUAAGUUCAUACAGUGAAAGUGUGAGACUGCGGAAGGCUUAGUAUAUCAGUUAUAAUCUGUUUGAUUCUAUGACCACUGGAUAACCGUGGGAAAUCUAGAGCUAAUACAUGCAUGAAUGGGUAAUGGGCNACCACUUACUCGGGGCAUUUAUUGAAAAAGUACCAAGGUGCGCACGAGAGUGUGUCACGAGGUGAAUCUAGAUAACUGUGCCGAUCGCGUAUGGCCAUGAGCCGGCGACGUUUCAAUUGAAUUUCUGCCCUAUCAACUAGUUGGUAAGGUAGUGGCUUACCAAGGUGGCGACGGGUGACGGGGAAUGAGGGUUCGAGUCCGAAGAGGGCGCUGAGAGAGAUGNCGACCAGUUCCAAGGAAGGCAGCAGGCGCGGAAAUUACCCAAUGCAGAGUUUGUGAGGUGGUGAGGAGAUGUAACGGGUGUAGUCCCGAGCGGGACCGCACACUGGAAUGAGAGGAAUGUAAGGGAUUGAGUGCAUCGAGUAACAACUGGAGGGCAAGUCUGGUGCCAGCAGCCGCGGUAAUUCCAGCUCCAGUAGUGUAUAUUAAAGUUGCUGCGUUUAAAAGGCUCGUAGUUGGAUGUAAGAGAGUGUGUGAGAGGGUGCUCGUUGGCUGUGAAGGUGUGGUGUUGAUCRUGCGUGAGAUGAUGCAUAGCUACCAUGCGAUUGCAGACAGUGACCGCGGCUGAUGUCGAGUGGCUGUGUGGCAGUGAGUGUGGCAGCGUGUUCACCGAACGCAUAACCCGCACUGAGUCAGGGAGGCUGCCCUCGCACACGCAGUGAUAAUUUGUGGAUGUGCCAGUGAACCUUGAGUGCGUUCGGUGGCGCAUGUGAGUGUGAGAAACACAGCACAAAGUGUGCCUUGAAUAAAUCAGAGUGCUCAGAGCAGGCAAGCGUUGCUUGAAUGUUGAUAGCAUGGAACGAACAGUCGUGGUGAUGUUGGGAGUGUGUAACAGCACAGACCGACACAGCACCUACCGCCGCGCGGUGUUGGUUGCCGCAAGGGGUGCGGGUCGAGAGGAGCGGUCGGGGGCACUGGUAUUUGGACGCGAGAGGUGAAAUUCUUGGACCGUUGAAGGACCGACAAAUGCGAAGGCAUGUGCCCAGAGCGUUUCCGUUGACGAGGAGCGAAAGUGAGGGGAUCGAAGUCGAUCAGAUACCGCCCUAGUCCUCACUGUAAACGAUGCCAACCCGGGAUGGGCUUGAAGUGUGUGUGUAGUGAUGAGCGGCUUCCAGUCGGUCCCCCUGGGAAACCGGAAGUGUUUAGGUUAAGGGGGGAGUAUGGUUGCAAGGCUGAAACUUAAAGGAAUUGACGGAAGGGCACCACCAGGGGUGGAGCCUGCGGCUUAAUUUGACUCAACACGGGAAAACUCACCUGGUCCGUACAUUGAGAGGAUAGACAGACUGACGCUCUUACUUGAUACAAUGGUUGGUGGUGCAUGGCCGUUCUUAGUUCGUGGAGUGAUCUGUCAGGCUGAUUCCGGUAACGUAACGAGAUCACAGUGCUCACUUGGAGAGUCGCAGAGAGUGUGUGUUGAUGACGUGGUGAGUUGGUGAACAUGUGUGCAGCAGGAGCACUUCGGUGUGACUGUGUGUGUGCAUGGAAGUGAUUGACUGCGUGAUUGAGGCUGCGGCGAUGCAUGAUGUGUAGUGUGCUUACGGGCACAGUGCGCAUGAGAUGCUCCGUGAGCAGACAACCAAGUAUAGAGUGGUAAAGUUGGAGCAAGCAUGUGCCCAUAACAGGUCUGUGAUGCCCUUAGAUGUUCGGGGCCGCACGCGCGCUACAAUGAUAACCGCAAUGAGUGUCUGGGUGGCGAAAGACUUGGGCAAUCUGAGAGAGUGGUUAUCGUGAUGGGGAUUGACGGUUGUAAUUGUCKGUCAUGAAAGAGGAAUCCCUAGUAUGCGCACGUCAUUAGCGUGCGCAGAUUAAGU
rnacentral:rRNA from 1 species